ACGUAGGGGGCAAGCGUUAUCCGGAUUUACUGGGUGUAAAGGGAGCGUAGACGGCACAGCAAGUCUGAAGUGAAAUCCCCGGGCUCAACCCGGGAACUGCUUUGGAAACUGUUGGGCUAGAGUGUUGGAGAGGCAAGCGGAAUUCCUAGUGUAGCGGUGAAAUGCGUAGAUAUUAGGAGGAACACCAGUGGCGAAGGCGGCUUGCUGGACAGUAACUGACGUUGAGGCUCGAAAGCGUGGGGAGCAAACAG
rnacentral:rRNA from 1 species